GUGUGUGUGUGUGUGUGUGUGUGUGUGUGUGCCUCAGUGUGGAUGCUUCAAGUGUCAGACGGGUCGGUGAUGUGUGUGUGUGGAUUGUUUUUUUGAUAACACACAGUUUGAAAAAACGUCCCCUUCAAAUAGGGAAACAGCGGACGUUGAUCUUUACAAGCAGCUGUUUCGGUUCCUCGUAAAUGAUUUGAUGGGUUUAACCCCACGACGAGGAAUUUCCUGUGGACCUUGUGGACAGAAGCCGAUUCCCUCUAGAAAAGCUCUGGUUUUACUGCAGCAGGUCUGACAGGAGCCUGUGGUUCUGGUUCUGGUUCUGCAAACCUGCAUUAUGUUUAGGACUUUAAGACUAAGAAUCCUGCGCAGACAAUUUACUUCACACAUAACUAUGAGAACUCAGAACGCCUGCAUGGGUUCCUCUCAUAUCUCAGUUCAAGCUCUUUUGUUACUUUUCCAGUGUCCGGGGGUCCAUGAGUGACGGGGGUGACCCCCCCCACCGGACCCCCAGAGAAGCAGCCGUGUUGUCGAAGCCUCAAAUGAACCAGAUGAUCCCCGUUCCUGCAUCAUCACCAUUCAAAUCAUGACAGUUACAACUGUAACCCCCCCCCCUCGUCUCUCUUUCCGCUCUUUAGCAGUGUUUUAAUUUGUCUCUCGGCUGCUGCCGCAAUCAAUCUGUCGAGAUGGAAAUGCAAAUCUGCAAUUAGCUGCUUGGCGACGGUUGGCGAAGCCCAAAUUGGUUUGGCUCGUGCUGAUCCGCCACGUUCCCUCUGUCACCUGAAACGACUGUACGAUGCUCACGGAGCGCCGGCCUGUUUGGGGCGGCCUGUUUGGGGCAGGCUGUGUGGGACGGCCUGUGUGGGGCGGCCUGUGUGGGGCGGCCUGUGUGGCGCAGGCUGUGUGGGGCGGCCUGUGUGGCGCAGGCUGUGUGGGGCGGCCUGUGUGGGGCGGCUUGUUUGGGGCGGCCUGUUUGGGGCAGGCUGUGUGGGGCGGCUUGUUUGGGGCGGCCUGUUUGGGGCAGGCUGUGUGGGGCGGCUUGUUUGGGGCAGGCUGUGUGGGGCGGCCUGUGUGGGCGGCCUGUGUGGGGCGGCCUGUUUGGGGCGGCCUGUGUGGGGCGGCUUGUUUGGGGCGGCCUGUGUGGGGCGGCUUGUUUGGGGCGGCCUGUGUGGGGCCUUCAGGGAGAUAACGAGGCUCCACAGGGGGUGGACAGAAUAACAGCAACACCCUACAGCAGAACGCCGGUCACAGAGGAGGCUCCGCUGUGAAGCUUUUCCUCUUCGGGGGUUUUGGUGGAAAUGGGUCGACGGUUACCUUGGUCGACGCCCCCGUGUGCAGCAGAUGGGAGAACAUGCGUGUUCCAUAACAGCAUGACGAUGCCGUGCCACGACAACACGCACUAGUGUCACCUGGCGUGACCAAUGCAGCUUAUGGCCUCACAGGGGGGUCCCACACAGCCCCCGCAUACAGGUGGAGUGCGUUAGUCCUCCCAUCCAGCAGGAGAAGAUCAACCAGUACUUAGUUUGGGUGGAAACGGUUGUGAAAAAGGCCAGAAACAUGUUUAUUAGGUUUAAGAUUAUUUCUUCUAGUACUCUAUUAAAAAAUAUCAAGAAACACUUUUUUAUAUUUUGUUCAAAUAGCAAUAACAAUGGUGCCUUUAAUGUAUUUGUUAGGGAGUUCAGACACAAAUGUCACUACUUGUCACUGGGCAGAAGGAGACGGGACAGAAGUUCUGGGAUCUCCACGUGGAACAAACGGUCCAACAUUCGAUGAAGUUUAAAAUGAAAAAUGGGGCCACGUCAACGUCAGCAGAGCUGAGUGACAAGAGGCGGAGCCAAAGGAAAGGCAACACUUUAAUAACGCCUCAUCCUGACUGACGCGCGUUUGUCCAGAGGAGCGUCCUCCUGAUUGUCCCCUGAUUAAUGCCAGCGUCCUCACAGCGGCUGUCACGGCUGCUGAGCGAGUGUCGGGACUUAGCAUUUAAACUGGCUCUCUAAAUCAACCUGCGUACACAUGCGCUGACUUAUGGCCCAGCGGGUGACACACACACACACACACACAUCACAGUGCCACCACGGUAGGAUUGUGUGCGUCACUCAGCGCUCCGUCCAGGCUCAAAGCGCCUGAUGAAUAACGGAGAGUUAUGGUUGUUGUGCCCGGCCACACACACACUGAUGAGACGAGGUCGACACCGCAGGGUUCCGUUUAAUGUAGCGCCGGAUGCAUUUACAUACAUACAUACAUACAUAUAUACAUAUAUAAAGAGCACAAAAGCAACAACGACUGAUUAAGGAAACAGCUCUGAAAGUCCACCGAAGCGCACUCGUCGUCGUGAAGAGGAAAACGCGGCGAGAGACAGCCGCCGCGAGCCGGUCGGACUGCUGCGAUGCGGAUGAGCGACGCUCCGUAACAAGGCGGCGACGCCGCGGCGAGGAGGCUAAUUGUUCUCAUCAGAUUAAGGGAAUAAUUGUGUGUGGAUACAUCGUCAAAACACGGAAGAGGCAAAUUGGAUCAGAGCAGAUGUUGAAUUAAUUGGUUUUGAGGCUGAUUGCAAUGAUGCUCUCUGUAUUAGCGGGACGGACUAGUGAUUAACACCCUGCCUCUAACACACACACACACACACACACACACAAACCUUUUACCGUACGAGUGCUGUUCUGUUUGCAGGAGAAUAGUCGUUCUGCCGAGCGGGUCAAAGGGACGGUCGACCAUCAAUCGGCAUAAUGUGGAAAAUAUCCAUCUGGCAUCUGUGGCUCAUCUUCCAAAGUGAUUUCCUUUAGUUUUGUUGCAUAAACUACGCAGAAUGUGGCGUCCGGUGUCAGAGUGCUGCGCUCUGCACGCCCACCUUCACCCCGUGAACGCACGCCGUGCACCUGAAAGCCUCAUUCUGUGCACAAGAUGCAGCCGGUGAACACAAUGCAGGCACAAAUGAUGUUUUUCAUACAAACAACAACUGGAAGGGCAAAUUAGUGACAUUCAUCUCCAAGCAGACGGGGUCACAUAUUGAAGAGAUAAAUAUGGAGGUCCUCUCUGGAACCACAGCUGUGUCCUUUCCCUUCUUCCUGGUGUUUGCAGCACUACAGCGAUUGGUCCUCGUAGUACGCGGAGAAGAAAUGAUCCAUCACGUCUGCUCUUUCGUUAUUAGAUUCCUGUGAUUCAUCUCCAGCCCAUUUGGGUGGGAUUCAAAUAAAGGACCAAAAAUAUAUAGAAAAACAAAAGAGCUGACGCAGCAGAUUGAGACCGAGGGAGGAAAUACAGAGAUGUUUAUGAUCAUUUUGCUACCUAGUGAAAAUAGACCUUUGGUCCAGUCUGGAGAAACUACAACUGCAGCUGUGUGUGUUUAGCUCAGCGCUCAUAAUAAGGGAAAUAUAAUAAGAGUCAUGGGAGAGAAAAAGAAAGAUAAAAAUUUUUCACUGUUCAUGAAGAACAAUGAUGUCGCUGUGGACAUUGAAUCAUCGCUGGACCUGCCCGACCAAUCACGGGGGUCAUUCUCUUGUUUACAUCAGAAACUGAAAACAAUUUAACCUUGAGGUCUCUCACAUGCACACACACACACACACACACACACACACACACACACACACACACACACACACACACACACACACACACACACACACACACACACACACACACACACACACACACACACAGGUACACAGAACAAAAAGGACAUGAGAUACACACAUCAAUCACACCUCUAAACAACCUGUCCAUUACCCUGUAAUAGCAUGGCUAUUACACACACACACACACACAGAUAAUGGGUCUUUAAAUUGACCUGUGUGUGUGUGUGUGUGUGUGUCUCCAGUAUAGAGGCCAACGUCCUUGUAUAACACUGUGACAGAGAAUCAAAACCUCUACGAUCCUGAAGUGAAGAAAGCCGAUGAUGUCAUCAGUCGAGCUACACACACACACACACACACACACACACACACACACACACACACACACAUUACUGACAGUAUCAUAGCUCAGGUGACCUGACGGAGACACAGUACCAAUGAACACACACCAGCAGAGGAAGAUACAGGUUGUAAACAUACAAUGUUAACAUAUGAGCACAUUGGGUAGAUAGUUAAUGGUUUAAUUAAACUAAAAAUUAAAAUAUAUUGGUAAGAAUAUGAAUUGGUAACAUCAUUAUAAGAAAUAACGAUAUUACUGUCCGUCAAAACUUAAAGAGAGACUUCACAUCCUGUUCAAAUUGACCCCAGAGGCCUCCUGGCCCCACACACACACACACACACACACACACACACACACACACACUUAGUGUCCACUCAAACCAGCAGCGUGAGACUCAACUUGUACAUCAAUCAUGAUGCUCCUCCUUUUAUUUCAUAUACUGUUUUAUUUGUCUUCUGUUCUGAUUACUUAUUUAAAUAAAAAAAAAUCUGUGCUAUGAAAUUCAUGUUUAAAUGAGCCACUGUGUUUGAUAUGCGACUAAAUAUUAUUGUACUGCUUCAAAAGGUGUCAAGUGUGUAUUUGAAUUACAGGGAAACCCUGUUAAUUAACAAAUCUCACCGUAAACAAACGAGACCCACUGAAGUCGCUCUCUCUCGGACACACACACACACACACACACACACACACACACACACACACACACACACUCUGGAUUCGAUAUUUUGGAGAUGCUGUUUCUUUAUAUGGUAAAUGGAAACUAAAGUAUAGAUUUGAGGACUGCUUUGAAUAAAACCCACUGAAAAGUAAAAUAAUAUAUCAGAAGGGUGUGAGUCAUGUGACUCAUGACUCACUUUUGAAAAAAUGAAUUGUACCGGGUAGAUUCCAGUGACUGCUUGUGUCUAAUUUGACAGUUUGUGGUUGGUAGUUACUCCAGACACGUACAGGAGAAAAAGAGGGCAUUUAAAUAAGAAGAUUGUCUCCAGCAAUCGGCCCCGUUGGAUACGAGAUGCAGCAGCACUAAUAAAAGAGAGGAAAAGCCGUGAUGAAAAUCAGGAGAUGAGGU
ensembl:lncRNA